GAUGAAGAACUCAGCGAAAUGCGAUAAGUAAUGUGAAUUGCAGAAUCCAGUGAAUCAUCGAAUCUUUGAACGCACAUUGCGCCCGCCAGCAUUCUGGCGGGCAUGCCUGUUCGAGCGUCAUUUCAACCCCCGACCUCCCUUUGGGGAAGUCGGCGUUGGGGACCGGCAGCACACCGCCGGCCCUGAAAUGGAGUGGCGGCCCGUCCGCGGCGACCUCUGCGUAGUAAACCAACUCGCACCGGAACCCCGACGUGGCCACGCCGUAAAACACCCAACUUCUGAACGUUGACCUCGAAUCAGGUAGGACUACCCGCUGAACUUAAGCAUAUCAAUAAGCGGAGGA
rnacentral:misc_RNA from 1 species